UCAGAAAUCCAACAGGCAGAGCCAUGUACUUGGCCUUUUUCCCUGUGUGGGGGAAAUGCCACCAGGCACAGUUGUCAUAAUUCCAUAUUGAUAUCACAUAUUACAUUUCUAAGCUGCAGGACAUAUCGUGGUGAUAUCAUAUAAUUAUUAUUUAUUGAUUUCCAGACUACUGACCGCCUGGUGGGGCCGGCAUAAUGAAAUACCAUUCUUAUCAUGAAAUUUACUGAUGCCCUGCUUCCCGUCCCCCUUUGGGAUUCCUGGCAGCUGACCGAUAAAAAUGAGAGCGGUUGAGACUAGAUGUCAUUCUGCAAUUCUUGCAGGGUCCCAUCUCCUCUGUUUAUAUAUCUAUGGUUCCCAUCUGCAAGGGUCAGGCUAGAUGGCCCCUGGUUCAUCACCCCUCCGCCCUUCCCCUGCAGGACUCAACGGGAGCUUCCCAGUGGAGCUGAGCCAUGGAAGCCAGAUUGUCCCCUGUGGCGAAGCCCUGCGUCACCCUUAGGCGCCCCCUGCUGGCCUACAUCGGAAGAAUCCGCAGUGCUUUCCAGGUGAAGAAACAGGUGAAGAAACCGACCUGAGGGGCUCAUCUUCCAGCGUCAUAACUUUUAUAUGCCUGUUGUCUUUGUCCAUGGAGUUUUCUUGGCAGGGAUACUGGAGUGGCUUGCCGGUUCCUGCUCCAGGUGGAUCACAUUUGGUCAAAACUCUCCACUAUGACCUGUCCAUCUUGGGUUUCCUGCUCGGCACAGUUCAUAGCUUAUCUGAGUUAUUCAAGCCCCUUCGCCAUGGCAAGGUUGUGAUCCAUGAAGGGGAAUCAAAGUAUUACAAAACUCUUAAUGAACAGCUGAUACUGGUACUCUGUGAGGUGAUGAACUCAAUUCUACAAGGAGGCCAGAGAUGCUGGAUGCUGCAAGGAACAAAGCCCGAGUUAAGGCCUGUUACCUUAUGAUUGCCCUGACAAUCAUGGCUUGCUUUGCUGUGAUUGCCUCUGAUA